UGAGUCUUAAGAGAUAUUAGUUAGUCUUUAAGCACUUACCACAAGAUUGUCUUAAAGCAAAACUCCAGUCCUUCACUGAAAUCCUCAACUCCUGAACUGAGUUCAGAGAUCCAGCUCCUCCAACUAACUCCAAACUCCCACUAAGUUCAGAGAGCCAGCUCCUUUUAAAGAGAAAUUUCUCUUAUGUCACCUCCCCUAAAUUUUCACAUCUACCAAUCACAGUAGAUGUUUUUCCCAGGACUGACCAUUCUUAGUUCACAUCUUCUUUUGUUAUCACCUUUUCUGAGUAGACAAAAACUUCACACCUCUUGCCUUUUGUAAGUUGUUUGACCCUUUUAGUGAUUAAUUUAACCUUUAUAGGUACUUAGCACCCUUUUGUAUUAGAUCUAAAAGUAGACCUAGCUUAGGGUUUUUGCUUCACUAUAAGUAUGAGUUGGGGACUUUUCAUUGUUCAGUAAGGAAUUUUACAACUUUUUCUUCCUCUAAAGUAAAUCAUGGCUAAGUAUGGGUGGAGUAAUGUUAAAAUUCCCAAUACAUUCCUGAUCAAGUACCUCCAUUAUUUAAAAUGGAGAAUAGCUUAACCAAAUUUUCUAAGGUAUAGUCUGAGCAAUUUUAGAUUCACACAUUUUCCCUAUUACCUUCUUAAGGCUUGACAAACAAUAAACCAAGCCCAAUUUUUAGUGUUUGUUGAUUUCCAGGAUGUAAAUGCUGACACUGAAAAUUCAUCAAUCCCUUCUAUGAGCUAACUCAUCAUCAUCAUCAGGAUAAACAUUUAAAUGGUGUCUACUGUGUUCCAGGUGCAUUAGAGUUAUUAUCUCAUUGGAGCUGCACAACAAUCCUGGGAGGGAGGUGCUAUUGUUAUCCCCAUUUUAAAGACAGCCACAGUCUAUUGCUGCCUCCUUAGCACGUUGGGAGAGGAAUGAGUUAAUGCCUCCACACGCAGUGAGCCUCCUAGAAGACAGGUCCAUUGUCCAGUUCACAUGGGAAAAGGAGAGGGCAGAGAACAGUCAGUCAAGAAGACCAAGAAGAAGAGCGGGAACAUUUCUCUCUGGUGGGCAGUGACAAUGCCAGAAGGCAGUUAGUGAGCAAGCACAGCUGCCUUUCUUUCAGCAAUAGGUCCAACAGGAUCUGCAAUAAGUCCAAAACAAAAUAUCACAGAAAACACUGAAGACCAGACAUGGAUAUUCUAAACAGAGAUUACCUUCUGAGCUAAGGGAAGAAGUAAGUGCCCCCAGAAAUGCAGGAAUACGAAAAAGGAAAGGCUGUGGCCCAGAACUGGAGUUCUACCCCUGGAGUGGGGUAGAAAGAGCACACUGGAGACCAACAUUCUAGUUCUUGAUGGAGCCAGAAGUAGGAAUUCUGGUACAUUAGGCAAAUGCCUCUAAUUCAGGGUGAAAGGGGGUAGUGAGGAGAGUUGGAGACCAUAAGAUCAUGGGGGCUACUAAGAAGGCUGGCACACAUAGACCGCUUCUGCCAUUGUUCCCGAAAUGGGUUCCCAAGUCAGGCAGUGAAAAUAAACUUUCUUAUAGAUGUUUGAGGGAAGAUGGGUCUUUGAAGAGGCAUGAUGGCCAAUGGGACCCUGGAAUAUGAUGACGCACAGGCUGGACAAGAAAGAGGAUGACAGACUUGCCAAAGACAAAGUCCCAAUCAUCCUCUACAUGUUAUGAUUCAAGUUAUUUCAACUUUCCAUGUCUCCAUUUUUUAUCUAUAAAACAAAGAGGUAAUGACUAUUCAAAGAUGUAGCCUGUAGCCUCCUAGGGCACUAUAGAAAGUUACAGCAAAGGAUUCAAGAAUAUAUACUUUUACCAGGGAUUGUCCUUUUGUAAUUUAUUUAGUAACUGCCUACAAAAUAUACAAUAUAACUCAA